rnacentral:rRNA from 1 species
UACGGGGGGGCGAAGCAGUUGUUCGGUGAAUUACUGGGCGUAAAGGGCUCGUAGGCGGCCCAACUAAGUCAGACGUGAAAUCCCUAGGCUCAAACCUAGGAACUGCGUCUGAUACUGGAUGGCUUGGAAUCCGGGAGAGGGAUGGCAGAAUUCCAGGUGUAGCGGUGGAAAAUGCGUAGAUAUCGAGAGGAACACCUGCGGCGAAGGCGGGUUGCUGGGCUGACACUGACGCUGAGGCGCGAAAGCCAGGGGAGCGAACGGG